rnacentral:rRNA from 1 species
UGGGGAAUAUUGCACAAUGGGGGAAACCCUGAUGCAGCAACGCCGCGUGAAGGAUGAAGGUUUUCGGAUUGUAAACUUCUUUGACGAGGGACGAAAAAAAUGACGGUACCUCGAAAACAAGCCACGGCUAACUACGUGCCAGCAGCCGCGGUAAUACGUAGGUGGCGAGCGUUGUCCGGAAUUACUGGGUGUAAAGGGCGUGUAGGCGGGACUGUAAGUCAGAUGUGAAAGGCAAGGGCUCAACCCUUGAGCUGCAUUUGAAACUACGGUUCUUGAGUGAUGGAGAGGCAGACGGAAUUCCCUGUGUAGCGGUGAAAUGCGUAGAUAUAGGGAGGAACACCAGUGGCGAAGGCGGUCUGCUGGACAUUAACUGACGCUGAGGCGCGAAAGCGUGGGGAGCAAACA